rnacentral:rRNA from 1 species
GAUGAACGCUGGCGGCGUGCCUAAUACAUGCAAGUCGAGCGAGAAGCUUGGAAAUGACGCUUCGGUUGACUUUCCAAGCGGACAGCGGCGGACGGGUGAGUAACGCGUAGGCAACCUGCCCCUGACAGAGGGAUAGCCAUUGGAAACGAUGAUUAAAACCUCAUGACACCGUAGUAGCACAUGCUACAUCGGUCAAAGAUUUAUCGGUCAGGGAUGGGCCUGCGUCUGAUUAACUGGUUGGUGAGGUAACGGCUCACCAAGGUGACGAUCAGUAGCCGACCUGAGAGGGUGAUCGGCCACAUUGGAACUGAGACACGGUCCAAACUUCUACGGAAGGCAGCAGUAGGGAAUCUUGCACAAUGGGCGAAAGCCUGAUGCAGCAACGCCGCGUGAAGGAUGAAGGCCUUCGGGUUGUAAACUUCUGUUCUAAGGGAAGAAAGAAAUGACGGUACCUUAGGAGCAAGCCCCGGCUAACUACGUGCCAGCAGCCGCGGUAAUACGUAGGGGGCAAGCGUUAUCCGGAAUUAUUGGGCGUAAAGAGUGCGUAGGUGGUUACCUAAGCGCAAGGUUUAAAUUAGAGGCUCAAUCUCUACAUGCCUUGCGAACUGGGCUACUUGAGUGCAGGAGGGGAAAGCGGAAUUCCUAGUGUAGCGGUGAAAUGCGUAGAUAUUAGGAGGAACACCGGCGGCGAAGGCGGCUUUCUGGACUGUAACUGACACUGAGGCACGAAAGCGUGGGUAGCAAACAGG